rnacentral:lncRNA from 1 species
UAAUUUUUAGUCGAGACGAGUUGAAGUCGUCGACGAGCUGCCCGUAGCUGACGGAGUGGUCGGCAAGCUGAUCGUGGUUGUCUUGACGUGGACGAGGAGUAGUUCAUUCUGUCUCGCCCGACCCAAGGUCCCGGGGUCGGACAUGCCCGACCCUUUGAGGAUGGAACUCCGCCUCGCCCGACCCUUGGUCCCAGGGUCGGAUGCGUCCGACCCUUUGCCGCAAGGUUU